rnacentral:rRNA from 1 species
UACGGAGGGGGCAAGCGUUGUUCGGAAUUACUGGGCGUAAAGGGCGCGUAGGCGGCCUUCUAAGUCGAACGUGAAAUCCCCGGGCUCAACCCGGGAACUGCGUCCGAUACUGGAAGGCUUGAAUCCGGGAGAGGGAUGUGGAAUUCCAGGUGUAGCGGUGAAAUGCGUAGAUAUCUGGAGGAACACCGGUGGCGAAGGCGGCUUUCUGGACAAAUACCGACGCUGAGGCACGAAAGCUAGGGGAGCAAACAGG